CGCUUUCACUCCUACGGGAGGCAGCAGUGGGGAAUAUUGCACAAUGGGCGCAAGCCUGAUGCAGCCAUGCCGCGUGUGUGAAGAAGGCCUUCGGGUUGUAAAGCACUUUCAGUCGUGAGGAAGGUAGUGUAGUUAAUAGCUGCAUUAUUUGACGUUAGCGACAGAAGAAGCACCGGCUAACUCCGUGCCAGCAGCCGCGGUAAUACGGAGGGUGCGAGCGUUAAUCGGAAUUACUGGGCGUAAAGCGCAUGCAGGUGGUUUGUUAAGUCAGAUGUGAAAGCCCCGGGGCUCAACCUCGGAAUUGCAUUUGAAACUGGCAGACUAGAGUACUGUAGAGGGGGUAGAAUUUCAGGUGUAGCGGUGAAAUGCGUAGAGAUCUGAAGGAAUACCGGUGGCGAAGGCGGCCCCCUGGACAGAUACUGACACUCAGAUGCGAAAGCGUGGGGAGCAAACAGGAUUAGAUACCCUGGUAG
rnacentral:rRNA from 1 species